CGGGAACACGGGGGGACGCGGGGCUGGGACGGGAGAGUCCAGGGCAGGGAAGGCGGUGCAAUGUCCCCAUCCUCCUCCCGUUCCGCUUAAUGGCGUGCUCCACAGCCCUGCUCCUUCACCAGCUCUGGGUAGGCACUGAACAACCCCGUGGUUCCCAGAGGCUCUGAGGAAUGGCGGUACCAUUCCCUAUAAAGGGAUUUAAUGUGUGCUAAUGGCCCUGAUGAGGCCAUGCCAUACAGAUCUGCUCAUCUGUGGAAAGAAGCUGUGUGUCCCACUGCCAGGAAAGCAGGAAAAGAGUUUUUAACCCCAUCAUGAUAAUAAUGAUACACAGUGCCUGAUCAGGACAAGAAGUUGAAGAGCACAGCAAAAGCAAUAAAAACAAAAGCCUUCUGGGAUCUCUAUGAGGU
rnacentral:lncRNA from 1 species